rfam:Triticum aestivum genome assembly, contig: Triticum_aestivum_CS42_TGACv1_scaffold_375425_5AL
UUUCUACUCCCUCCGUCCAAAAAUACUUGUCAUCAAAAUGGAUAAAAAGAGAUGUAUCUAAAACUAAAAUACGUCUAGAUACAUUUCCUUUUAUCCAUUUUGAUGACAAGUAUUUCCGGACGAAGGGAGUAUUUG